rnacentral:rRNA from 1 species
UGGGGAAUAUUGGACAAUGGGCGAAAGCCUGAUCCAGCCAUGCAGCGUGUGUGAAGAAGGUCUUCGGAUUGUAAAGCACUUUAAAUUGGGAGGAAGGGCAGUUACCUAAUACGUGAUUGUUUUGACGUUACCGACAGAAUAAGCACCGUCUAACUCUGUGCCAGCAGCCGCGGUAAUACAGAGGAUGAAAGCGUUAUUCGGAAUUACUGGGUGUAAAGCGCUCGUAGGUGGUUAGUUAAGUUGGAUGUGAAAUCCCGAGGCUCAACCGGAGAACUGCAUUCGAUACUGACUGACUAGAGUAUGGUAGAGGGAGGUGGAAUUUGCUGUGUAGCGGUGAAAUGCGUAGAUAUAAGAAAGAACACCAAUUGCGAAGGCGGCCACCUGGACUGAUACUGACACUGAGGUGCGAAAGCGUGGGGAGCAAACA